rnacentral:rRNA from 1 species
GACGAACGCUGGCGGCGUGCCUAAUACAUGCAAGUAGAACGCAGUUGCGAAAGGGUGAGUAACGUGUAGGUAACUGCCUGGUAGCGGGGGAUAACUAUUGGAAACGUUAGCUAAUACCGCCGACUACCAGAUGGACCUGCGUUGUAUUAGCUAGUUGGUGAGGUAACGGCUCACCAAGGCAACGAUACAUAGCCGACCUGAGAGUGUGAUCGGCAAGCCUGGGACUGAGACACGUCCCAGACUCCUACGGGAGGCAGCAGUAGGGAAUCUUCGUCAAUGGGGGGAACCCUGACCGCGCAACGCCGCGUCAGUGAAGACGGUUUUCGGAUCGUAAAGGUCUGUUGUUAUGUAAGCGAUACUUAACCAGAAAGGGACUGCUAACUUCGUGACAGCAGCCGCGGUAAUAC